GAUUAACGCUGGCGGCGUGCAUAACACAUGCAAGUCGAACGAUGAAACUUAACUGAUUUCUUCGGAAUGAUUUUAAGUGGAUUAGUGGCGGACGGGUGAGUAACGCGUGAGUAACCUGCCUUGGAGAAGGGGAUAGCCUUUGGAAACGAAGAAUAAUACCCUAUGAUAUGAUAAUAUCUCAUGAUAUUAUCAUCAAAGAUUUAUCGCUCUAAGAUGGACUUGCGUCUGAUUAGUUAGUUGGUGAGGUAACAGCUCACCAAGGCAGCGAUCAGUAGCCGGCUUGAGAGAGUGUACGGCACCAUUGGGACUGAGACACGGCCCAGACUCCUACGGGAGGCAGCAGUGGGGAAUUUUGCACAAUGGGGGAAACCCUGAUGCAGCGACGCCGGGUGAUUUAGAAGGCCUUCGGGUUGUAAAAAUCUUUUGUAUGGGAAGAAAAUGACAGUACCAUACGAAUAAGAACCGGCUAAUUACGUG
rnacentral:rRNA from 1 species